ACGCACGCUUGCGGCGUGCCUCAUACCUUCAAGUAGCACGCUGAAGGAGGAGCUUGCUUCUCUUGAUGAGUUGCGAACGGGUGAGGAACGCGUAGGUAACCUGCCUGGUAGCGGGGGAUAACUAUUGGAAACGAUAGCUAAUACCGCAUAAGAGUAGAUGUCGCAUGACAUUUGCUUAAAAGGUGCAAUUGCAUCACUACCAGAUGGACCUGCGUUGUAUUAGCUAGUUGGUGAGGUAACGGCUCACCAAGGCAACGAUACAUAGCCGACCUGAGAGGGUGAUCGGCCACACUGGGAAUGAGACACGGCCCAGACUCCUACGGGAGGCAGCAGUAGGGAAUCUUCGGAAAUGGACGGAAGUCUGAACGAGCAAAGCCGCGUGAGUGAAGAAGGUUUUCGGAUCGUAAAGCUCUGUUGUAAGAGAAGAACGAGUGUGAGAGUGGAAAGUUCACAAUGUGACGGUAUCUUAACAGAAAGGGACGGCUAACUACGUG
rnacentral:rRNA from 1 species